rnacentral:lncRNA from 1 species
GACCAUAAGAAACCUAAUGAACAAUCACAAGUUCAAUUUAGGAUGAUCUGCUCCCAUGGUGCAGCUGGGAUCAUCAUAGGCAAGGGAGGGUCUGUAGUCAGAGCUCUGCAAAAUCAAACUGGUGCUUCUAUCAUCUUUGCUCCUCCUAUAACCAACUCCGAUGACCGUCUAGUUACUGUUUCUGCAUUGGAGAACCUUGAAUCAUCGCACUCUCCUGCACAGAAUGCACUUCUUCUUGUCUUUGCUAGAUCUAUUGAGCAUGACAUUGAAAGAGCUCGUUCCUUGGGCUUGAUUGAGGAAAUUACCGUGACAGCGACCCUCCUGCUGCCAUCAAAUAGGGUCUCUUGUUUGAUUGGAAGAGGAGGUAGGGUAGACUCAGAAAUGAUAGAAACAACUGGUGCUGAUAUACAGAUAAUGCAAGCGGACCAAUUCUUUGAUUUCGCUUCAAAGAAUGAUGCAGUAGUGCAGGUGCAAUUCUUAUCGUCUUACUUUUUUUUUAUUUGUUGUCAAGUUAUUGUGACAUUAAAAGGAUUUUAGUAUACAACAUAAACUGGGUUGAAGUAUGUCAUUGAGUCUAAUAAUCAUUAUUUAAUGUGAUUUUUGGUGCUGCCGUGAUUUGUGCUUGUAAUCAGUUAUCUGCUCCUCUCCCUCCAAGAACAAUCAACACUUCUUCAUCACCUGUCGUUGUCAUCAUCUAGUUUGGUUAGCAAAUUUCACCUCUUCUUGUAACAUUUUCAAAGCUCUACCAGUUCUCUGCGCAUCAGUUGUAUUUGUAUUUUUUUUCCAUUUAACAUAUUAUAUAAAAUUUUGAUGUUUUUGCUGUUUGUUGUGUAGAUGUGCAAUAUUUUAAAUGUACCAAGAGUUCUGUCACUUAUCGUUUGCCUUUUGUUCUUUGAUAUUGCCUGAUGCUUUCUAAGUAGAGGAUUUUUCUUGAUCAUCCAGGAUGAAAACUGGUAUUGAACUAUAGAUAGAUACUGGAAUGUUUAUACCUUGUAAUGGAGUGUGAUCAGCCAACAUGGUAAAGUAUUUGGAGCUUCUAUUGAAGAUUUAUGUCUUUUUUUUUUUUUGAAUUCCCAGUCCUGUAUCUACCUGGUUAAAAUCUUUGGUGCCACCUACCUAGCGAUUUAUUCCCAAACUUUAAUAUGUUUUGCAGAUUACAGGUGAGGAGAAAAAUGUACAGAAUGCUCUGUUUCAAGUUACCUGUAAACUGAGGGGGAAUCUUUUGCCUACCGAGAUGCUCAAUGGAUUGAGGGCAGGGAGCCCCUAUAGAAGAGCGGGGGAGAUCACUAUGUUGCAUCAAUCAGCUGGCGAAUCUCUCGAUUCCAAUCAGGAAACAAGCUUUGGAAAAAGAGUGGAUCAAGUACGUGAUACUCCUUCCUCAUUCCUGCAGUUGCCACAGGUGAAGAUUUUCUCUUCACUUGUUUGCAGUUUUAAAUUAUCUGAAUUGAAAUUUGAAAAAAUUGGUGUUUGAAAAAAAAAAAAAGAUUACAGGGAGUAGCUCUGUGGCCAUAAAGAAAGCAGUGAUUGAUGUAACUAGCUGCCUUCAAGAUUGUCCUCCAUACGAGAAGGAUGAGGUGGAUUUAAGCCUUGGAGCUGGUAGGAGAAGAAGAAGUGGUUCCUCUGGUGAACCAAUGUGUUCCCUGCUACCCACAUAUUCUGAAAAUAUUGCAACUGAUGGAGACCAUAAGAAACCUAAUGAACAAUCACAAGUUCAAUUUAGGAUGAUCUGCUCCCAUGGUGCAGCUGGAAGAAUCAUAGGCACAGGAGGGUCUGUAGUCAGAGCUCUGCAAAAUCAAACUGGUGCUUCUAUCAUCUUUGCUCGUCCUAUAACCAACUCUGAUGACCGUCUAGUUACUGUUUCUGCAUUGGAGAACCUUGAAUCAUCGCACUCUCCUGCACAGAAUGCACUUCUUCUUGUCUUUGCUAGAUCUAUUGAGCAUGACAUUGAAAGAGCUCGUUCCUUGGGCUUGAUUGAGGAAAUUACCGUGACAGCAACCCUUCUGCUGCCAUCAAAUAAGGUCUAUUGUUUGAUUGGAAGAGGAGGUAGGGUAGAUUCAGAAAUGAUAGAAACAACUGGUGCUGAUAUACAGAUAAUGCAAGGGGAUCAAUUCUUUGAUUUGGCUUCUAAGAAUGAUGCAGUAGUGCAGGUGCAAUUCUUAUCGUCUUACUUUUUUUUAUUAGUUUUCAAGUUAUUGCGACAUUAAAAGGAUUUUAGCAUACAACAUAAACUGGGUUGAAGUAUGUCAUUGAGUCUAAUAAUCAUUGCUUAAUGUGAUUUUUGGUGCUGCCGCUAUUUGUGCUUGUAAUCAGUUAUCUGCUCCUCUCCCUCCAAGAACAAUCAACACUUCUUCAUCACCUGUCGUUGUCAUCAUCUAGUUUGGUUAGCAAAUUUCACCUCUUCUUGUAACAUUUUCAGAGCUCUACCAGUUCUCUGCGCAUCAGUUGUAUUUGGAUUUUUUUUUUCCAUUUAUCUUAUUAUAUAAAAUUUUGAUGUCUUUGCUGUUUGUUGUGUAGAUAUGCAAUAUUUUAAAUGUACCAAGAGUUCUGUCACUUAUCGGUUGCCUUUUGUUCUUUAAAAUUGCCUGAUGCUUUCAAAGUCGAGAAUUUUUCUUGAUUAUCCAGGAUAAAAACUGGUAUAGAACUAUAGAUACAUACUGGUAAAGCAUUUGGAGCUUCUAUAGAAGAUUUAUGUCUUUUUGUUUUUGAAUUCCCAUUCCCCUACCUUCUUUUUAAAAACCUUUGGUGCCACCUGCCUAGCGAUUUAUUCCCUAACUGUUACAUGUUUUGCAGAUUACUGGUGAGCACAAAAAUGUACAGAAUGCUCUGUUUCAAGUUACCUGUAAACUGAGGGAGAAUCUUUUGCCCACCAAGAUGCUCAAUGGAUUGAGGGCGGGGAGCCCCUAUAGAAGAGCGGGGGAGAGCACUAUGUUGCAUCAAUCAGCUGGAUCAGUCAGCCGGCGAAUGUCUCGAUUCCAAUCAGGAAACAGGUUUGGAAGAAAGAGUGGAUCAAGUACGUGAUCCUCCUUUACCAAACUUGCAGCAAGGGGAAGAUUUUCUCUUCCCUUGUUUGCAGUUUUAUAUGUAGUUCAGCCCAAAAGGUUUGUUGUCAUGUGGUCGUGGAAAUUGCAUAGUGGGCGGACAACAUACAGCACAGACAAUGAAAGCAGCUCAACCUCCUCUGGCAAGGUUUCAGAACUUGAAAGGGUACCGAGGGAGGUGCUUAAUCAGGCACGAGGGAGUUCUGGUGGGGGAGUGUUGGAUGGAGACCACUUGUCCUGAAUCUCCUGAUUAUGUUCCAGAAGAAAUUUUAACACACUAGGAAAUGACAUUUUAGCUGUUUAACAUAGAUAUGGUUUGUGUCACACUCCUGCGUGCUUGUCAAUUUGAAAUAGUACGCUGUAAUAUUUACCUGUUAAUAUGGAAGCAUUCUUCUUAUAGUCAGGGUGCUUUAGGUUGUGAAGAUGAUGAUUUGGAUAAAAAAUUAAGUAAGAAAAUAUGACUUAGGAUAUUUGACUCAUCGGUGAGAUGGAGAAGGAAUCGAUCUGUUGUGUGCUCAAGUGAGAGACAAAUGAAACCUUUUCCAUAUUUUGCCAUAUUUGCUUAUCUGUGGAAAUAAACUAGGGCAAAGGCCAAGAGCAUGAACUCCAUCAAAAUUAUUUAAAUGAAAUAAAAUUAUUGCUUUAAUUUCUAAUGUCAAUGAAAGACAUGGUUCAAGGCAGGGAGAUUUUGGGAUGUCUUGACUGGUAAAAUUCUUCCUUAUUUUGGGGAGAGAGAUUCUUCAGAUAUAAAACCCUUAACAUAAAUAAUUAUUUAUGUAGAAAAACCUUUACUGGACUUUUUGCAAGGUUAUCAUUUCACUUUAAUUCCAUCAGUUCUUCUUUCAAAAUAGAUUAUGAUUUUCUUGAAAAUUUACAUGUCAACUUUAGAAUCUAUGAGAUUAGUUGAGAUAAGCGCAAGUUAACCCGAACAUUCAUAUUAAUAAUAAUAAUAAAAAACAGAUUAUGUUGAAACAUAUUUAAUUUCACUUAGAAUCUUGACUUGUUUCGGUAAUUCUGUUUAAAUUUCACCUGAAACGUUAUGGUUUUAUUUUAGUUGUUCGGUUCUAGCCAAAUAGUGUAUUUUUUUUGUUUUAUUUUUUUAAAAAGGAAAUCUAUGUUUUUUCCUCUCUCUAUUUUCUUCAUUAAAUUUUGGACAACUGGAGAUGAUGACGGGAAUAGUUAUUGAUAAGGUCAGGGUGAGUUGUAUUUUUUUGCUUUAUCAAAAAGGGUUGAUUUCAGGGGAGCUAGUGUUCGGAAAGCUUUGUGAUGUUUUUAUUUCUCAUAUCUUAUUGAACUCGCUUUUUCCAUAUAUAUAUAUAUAUAUAUAUACAAUUACUGAUACGAAACAAUAAAAAGACUAGGAAAUACUGGAAUAUUAAUAGGAAGAAAAUGCCACGUGUAAGCUUAUGUAACUGCCUCGACUAACAAAGAAGACAAAGUCACACGAUGUCCUUCUUGCUCCUGCCCUUGCAAAUGAUCUUCGCAUGUGCAUGUAUAUAUGUCCUGUCUGCAAAAUGGCCAUAUCAAUUCACUGCAUUUAUUACUUACUCAAGCAAUCAUGCAUUUAUUUCAUCAAAUUAUCACGGGGUAUAAUAUUGGUAUAAACCUUCCCGGAGCAAGUUUCUUGUUUUCGUUUGUUUGUGUGGUUGUUUCUACGUUUGAAGCAACCACAACAAAAUAAAUAUUUAAUUAUAUUAGAAAUGCAAUUUAUUUUUAGUGGGGCCUAGUACAAAUCACGUUUAAAACACAGGUUCUGUCGAAGCAGCUCCAAACUGCUUUUCUUCUUCACUGUUCAGUGUUUUAGUGAAUUGUAAUGUUCACUUAAAACAAUGAACACUGUAAGUGAAAUUUAAUUCACUCAUACUGUUCGCGUAAACUGUUUUUUUUUAUAAAAAAACUAGUUUAGAGUGAAUUAAAUUAACUCGCACUGUCAUGUGAACAAAUUUUACUAGUGUAGAGUGAAUUAAAUUCACUCGCACUGUAAUAUCAAUUUUAUUCCUGAUAAUAUUUUAUCUAGUUUUAUUGCAAGCUUGCAAGCUAAAAAAAUUAUGAAAAUUGUAGUUCUUGUCGGAUGAAUUUUGUACGUAAUGGAAUUGUAGAUGGUUUAAUGAAAUAAUAAAAAAUCUUUUAUAUAAAGUAUUAUUUAUUUCAUGAUGUAAUAGUAGUAAUUAAAUCUAUAAUAUUUAAAUUUAAAACCAUUAAUAUAUAUAUAUAUAUUUUACUUAUUUUAUAACCUCAAUUUAAAAAAUAUUAUUAACUUAACACAUUAAACUACUUUUUGUUCAACCUCAAUUUUAACCACAGUUUUAACCAAAUGUAUAUAAAUAUCAAAUCAACCUCAACUAAAAGUAUUUUUUUUAAAAUAAUUUUUUUCAAAUCACAGCCACAAAAGCUACCACAAUACCAAACACAUAUAUCAGGCAUGAAUGCCACAUCAUGUACCUCAUGUAAGGUUCUCACCAGCAGCAUGCUGCUGAUUUCCUUUCUUCUUCUUUUUAUUAUUUUUUUAUUUUUGUAUUUGAGGGUUUGAUUGCAGUAAUUUUUUAAAAUAUUUUUUUACUUGGAAAUGCAUCAAAAAAAUAUUUUUUUAUUUUAAAAAAAUUAUUUUUAACAUCAGCACAUUAAAAUAAUCUAAAAGCACUAAAUAAUAUUAAUUUAAAACAAAGAAAAAAAUAAAAAAAAUUGAAUUUUUUAAAAAUAAUUUUUAAAACGCAAAAAUAAAAAAAAUAUUAAGAUUUUUUAAAAUAUAUCAAAAAUAAUUUUUUAAAAAUAAAAAAUAUUAUUUUAAUAUAUUUUUAAAUAAAAAAAUAUUUUAAAACACCACAUUUCAUGGUAUUUCCGUAACAAUGCUAAGAUAAGUUGAUAACUGGGUUUCAAUCUAUGAUGAAGCUACAGAUCCCAAGACAAGUGCAUCCACAGAUCCAGCCAAUGGUUCAUUCCCAAAAUUUCAAAUUUCAGCAGCAUUUUAAUUUAUUAUAUAUUGUUACAUUAAUAAAAUAUAUUUAACCCUGCCAUCUUGCUUUACAGGACUUAAAACUGAUAAUAUAAUUACCGUUAAAAAAAAUGAUCUCUUGAAUAUGAGUUGGAUAAUAUAUAUAUAUAUAUAUAUAUAUAUAUAUAUAUAUAUAUAUAGGACCAAUGACCCGAUAAUAAACCUGAUUACCCGGGUCGUCUCCUAGGCCCGGUUCACUCACUCGUCGCGUUGGGGUGCCCAUAAAUCUUUUAUUCACUCCAACACACACUCACACUCACACGCUCACCCUCAUUCCAUUUUUUUUCCCCACUCUCUCUUUUCCACUCUCUUCUUUCGUUUUAGUGUCUUCAUCCUCUUUUCUAGUGGAAGGAAAGGUAAAAACAGUUGGUACACUCUAAAAAAAUUCCCUCCUUUCCAUUUCUCCACUCAAUGCAGCACCACCAGAAGCAUCACCGUCACAAGCGCCCCCCACGACAGCCAUUGAUCGAGCUCCAACCGGGUCAGGUUGCAUUCCGAGUAGUCUGCCAUGCUUCGAAAAUCGGUGCUCUCAUUGGCCACUCCGGAUCCGUAAUAUCCCAAAUCCGGCUUGAAACCGGUUGCCUUGUUCACUGCGAGGAGGCCGUGAAGGGUUCGGAGCACCGGGCGAUCGUGGUGGCGGGGUCCGCAUCCCCAGAGAGGAAAAUCGCGGUGGGUGAAGAUGAGACGGUGGAAGUGUCUGCAGCGCAGGAAGCGGUGGUUAGGGUUUUGGAGAGGAUGUGGGAGGUGGAUGCGGUGAAAGAUGGCGGUGAUUGCGAGGGGUAUUGUGGACUUUUGGCCAAUACGUCGCAGAUUGGUGCCGUUGUGGGUAGAGAAGGCAGGAAUAUCAAGAGAAUGAAGAGAGCUAGUGGGGCCCAUAUCUGGAUUCUCCCGGCCCCACUUUGCGCGUUAAAGGAAGAUCAAUUAAUUCAGGUUUUUUUCUUCCUUUUUUUGGCUACAUAUUUCUCGUAUAAUAAUUCAUGAUAGAUUUUAUGUUUUUGUAGGAGAAAGUAAUACAAAUUUUGAUAUAGUUAAUAAUUUCUUAAAUCAUAGUUUAAGAAAAAUAAAAUCUUUUAUAUCAUCUGAAAUGAAAUUUGAAAAAAUUGGUGUAUGAAAAAAAAAAAAAGAUUACAGGGAGUAGCACUGUGGCUGUAAAGAAAGCUGUGAUUGCUAUAACUAGCUGCCUUCAAGAUUGUCCUCCAUAUGAGAAGGAUGAAGUGGAUUUAAGCCUUGAAGCUGUUAGGAGAAGAAGAAGUGGUUCCUCUGGUGAUCCACAUGCGGAAUUCUUCCCUCAUUUGUGUUCCCUGCUACCCACAUAUUCUGAAAAUAUUGCAACUGAUAAAGACCAUAAGAAACCUAACGAACAAUUACAAGUUCAAUUUAGGAUGAUCUGCCCCCAUGGUGCAGCUGGGAGCAUCAUAGGCAAGGGAGGGUCUGUAGUCAGAGCUCUGCAAAAUCAAACUGGUGCUUCUAUCAUCCUUGCUCCUCCUAUAACCAACUCCGACGGUCGUCUAGUUACUGUUUCUGCAUUGGAGAAUCUUGAAUCAUCCCACUCUCCUGCACAGAAUGCACUUCUUCUUGUCUUUGCUAGAUCUAUUGAGCAUGACAUUGAAAGAGCUCGUUCCUUGGGCUUGAUUGAGGAAAUUACCGUGACGGCAACCCUCCUGCUGCCAUCAAAUAGGGUCUCUUGUUUGAUUGAAAGGGGAGGUAGGAUAGAUUCAGAAAUGAUAGAAACAACCGGUGCUGAUAU